rnacentral:lncRNA from 1 species
ACCCCCCACCCCCUGGGUGAAAAACCACCUCUUGUAAUAAUAACUGACACUUCCCAUAACCCAAGGGUGAUCUCUCAAAAGAGGAACUAUAUACUGUACUAGUACAUUAGUAGUAUAGUAUAAGAUGUGAUUGUAAUUGUUUUUCCAUUAAUAAAUGAUUCCUAUAAUAUACUACAUGUAUGUGUUUUACCAGUAAAACAGUAUGCAGUAUAGUACAGUAUUUCCAUUACAUGUAUGGAUGUACAGUUACUUUAUAGUACAUGGCCAGAGGCGUCGCUGCCUAAGGGGCAGGUAGGGCAAUUGCCCCACCAAUAUUUUGAAGAUCAGUAGCCAUUUUUAUUAAAAUUAGUUAUUAAUUCAUUUAAUAACUAUCCAGGAAAGACUCAAUCACUGCUUACUUCUUCACACACACCAACAACUGACUCAUAAUGUAGAAAUACAGUCGGUAGUUAAGCAAUUUAUUGCUGGACAGUCGCGACGCCAACGGUAAGCUCACGUGAAUUUUAUUUUCCAAGUGACGUCAUAAUGGCUGCCAAGUGAUGGCUAAAGCUGUGUUUAGUUUUGUGCAGUUUACAAGAUGGUGGGCAGUCUAUAGCUCUAAGAAGCAAACUCAAACUUGAAGCAAAAAGGUAUAUAAUAGUACUGGGACUGGCCAGAACAGCUCAGAAUUAGAUUCCACACUCAGGAUCAUUAAUCAAGUCAUUUUACCUCAAUAGAAUUGUUUGAAAUCCUUUUAGAGCUAGAUUUUAUACUUGUCAUUAUAGUCAUAUUGUGUGCCAUUGACUUUCAGAGACCACAGCAUCCUUAUUUCUUGCUGGAACAACUUUAAACUUCUGGAGUAUAUUCUUCUAGCUACUAUCUUGUUGUAAGCAAAUGGACAAGAAGCUGGAAUUGUCUAGAACACUGUAUGCAUCCGGUAAAGUCAAGGACAUCAGUUGCUUGCAGUUCUGUUAUAGUUUAUUUAAACUGGUUGAUGUUUUUUUAUGGUGAUAAAUAUGUAUGUUCUGUGUAUUGUAUGCAAAUUUCAUAGUAAAACUA